GGAAGAGCUCAAAUUUGUAAUCUGGCGUCUUUCAGGCGUCCGAGUUGUAAUCUAUAGAAGUGUUUUCCGUGCUGGACCAUGUCCAAGUCCCUUGGAACAGGGUAUCAAAGAGGGUGACAAUCCCGUACUUGAUAUGGCCACCAGUGCUCUGUGAUACACUUUCUACGAGUCGAGUUGUUUGGGAAUGCAGCUCAAAAUGGGUGGUAAAUUCCAUCUAAAGCUAAAUAUUGGCGAGAGACCGAUAGCGAACAAGUACCGUGAGGGAAAGAUGAAAAGCACUUUGGAAAGAGAGUUAAACAGUACGUGAAAUUGUUGAAAGGGAAACGAUUGAAGUCAGUCGUGUUCAUUGGACUCAGCCGGUUCUUCCGGUCUAUUUCCUUUGAACGGGUCAACAUCAGUUUUGUCCGGUGGAU
rnacentral:rRNA from 1 species